rnacentral:rRNA from 1 species
UACGUAGGGUGCAAGCGUUGUCCGGAAUUAUUGGGCGUAAAGAGCUCGUAGGUGGCCUGUCGCGUCGGCUGUGAAAACUCGGGGCUCAACUCCGAGCUUGCAGUCGAUACGGGCAGGCUAGAGUUCGGCAGGGGAGACUGGAAUUCCUGGUGUAGCGGUGGAAUGCGCAGAUAUCAGGAGGAACACCGGUGGCGAAGGCGGUUCUCUGGGCAUUACCUGACGCUGAGGAGCGAAAGUGUGGGGAGCGAACAGG